rnacentral:ncRNA from 1 species
CAAAGAUUUGGUCCUGGUCUUAUUGUCAGUUAUCUCUUGAUUUACACAUGCAAGUCUCAGCACACCAGUGAGGACGCCCUUACCCCUUCUAUAGGACAAGGAGCUGAUAUCAGGCACUUCCACCGCCCAUAACAUCUAGUCCGACCACACCCCCAAGGGUAUUCAGCAGUGAUAAACAUUGUUUAUAAGCGACAGCUUGACUCAGACAAAGAGAAGAGGGCCGGCCAACCCGGUGCCAGCCGCCGCGGCUAAACCCUAGGGCCCAAAUUGAUAAUACUCGGCGUCAAUCGUGAUUAAAGCUUUCUAAAAUUAGAGUAGAACCUAUUAUUAAGCUGUGAAAAGCAAUUUUUUUAGGGAAAAUCAGAAACGAAAGUUACUCUAAUACACACUUGAACACACGACAACUGGGAAACAAACUGGGAUUAGAUACCCCACUAUGCCCAGUCGUAAAAUAUUAACUUACGCACAAAAACGCCCGGGAACUACGAGCUCUAGCUUAAAACCCAAAGGACUUGACGGUGUCCCACCCAACUAGAGGAGCCUGUCCUAUAAUCGAUGGUCCCCGAUAUACCCAACCUUUUCUUGCUCAUCAGUCUGUAUACCUCCGUCGCAAAUCUACCAUAUGAAUGAUACAUAGUUCGGUUCAACGAUCACUUCAUCAGAACGUCAGGUCAAGGUGCAACCUAUGAAAAGGCAAGUGAUGGGCUACAAUUUCUAACCUAGAACAAACGAAAUACUGCAUGAAACACAGGAACGAAGGAGGAUUUAGAAGUAAAGAGAAAAUAACAUGUUCUCUUUAACAUGGCCCUGGGACAUGUACACACCGCCCGUCGCCCUCUUCGAUAUGAAUACUUCAGUUUUUAACCUAACAACAUGUGAGAGAAGAGGUAAGUCGUAACAUGGUAAGUGUACUGGAAAGUGCACUUGGAAUAAC